rnacentral:misc_RNA from 1 species
GUGAAUCAUCGAAUUUUUGAACGCAUAUUGCACUCUCUGGGAUUCCGGAGAGUAUGCGUAUGUGAGGAUCAUUUGAAAUAAUAUUAAUUUCGAUAUUUGCUUGUAAGCAAAAAUGGGACGGUCCAGCUUUCGUGGGGUGGUCGCCUAAAAUGCAAGACAAUCUCAUUUCUUGUUUUGCGUGAUACUUUCAUUUACCUCGUUACUUCGCAAGGAAGCUUCGAACGUGUUAAGAAGUAUGCAAGAG